rnacentral:piRNA from 1 species
UAUUUUGCAGUACUACCUCUGACAG